rnacentral:rRNA from 1 species
GAUAGAUAUCAAUUUAAAAUAUUUAAUCUAAGAAUAUAAGGGUAGAGCUUUAUCAUUCAAUAAUAAAUGAAAUAUAAGUUAAUAAGUAUUUAUUUUGAUAAUUAGGUUUUUUAGUGGCCAUAUUUUUAAAGUGUUUUAACUAAUACAAUUGAAUAAUUUAUUUAUUAGAUUUUAUUAAAUUAAUAAUAUGUUUUUUAAAAUGGAUAAAUAUUAGAAAUAAUGAAAAUAUUAGUAGAAUUAAUAUAUGAGAAAAAAGAAAAGUAUUAAAAGUAAAAUAUGAAAUAGUUAAGAAAAAAAUAGAGGAACUCGGCAAAUAAGGUUCUUGCCUGUUUAACAAAAACAUGUCUCUAUGAAGUUAUAUGAAGUCUGACCUGCCCAUUGAAAUUUAUUAAAAGGCCGCGGUAUAUUAACUGUGCAAAGGUAGCAUAAUUAGUAGUUUUUUAAUUGAAGGCUUGUAUGAAAGGUUGGACAAGGGAUAAGCUGUCUUUAUUUUUAUUUUUGAAUUUGUCUUUUAAGUGAAAAGACUUAAAUAAGUUUAAGGGACGAUAAGACCCUAUAAAUCUUUAUAUUAGUUUAAUUUUAUUUUAAAUUUUAAUGUUUAAAAGAGUAAAGUUAAUAUAGUAUUGUAUUGGGGUGAUAGGAAUAAUUAGUAAACUGUUCGAAGGUAUAAACAAAAAUAUUUGAUAUAUAAUUAUUAGUAGAUCCUUAGUGGAGAUUACAAGUUUAAGUUACUUUAGGGAUAACAGCGUUAUUUUUUUUGAGAGUUCUAAUCGAAAAAGAAGUUUGCGACCUCGAUGUUGAAUUAAAAUUUCUUUGUGGUGUAGUAGUUACAAGAGAGAGUCUGUUCGACUUUUAAAAUUUU